UAUAUCGGAACGUGCCCAGUAGUGGGGGAUAGCCCGGCGAAAGCCGGAUUAAUACCGCAUGAGACCUGAGGGUGAAAGCGGGGGAUCGCAAGACCUCGCGCUAUUGGAGCGGCCGAUAUCAGAUUAGCUAGUUGGUGGGGUAAAGGCCUACCAAGGCAACGAUCUGUAGUUGGUCUGAGAGGACGACCAGCCACACUGGGACUGAGACACGGCCCAGACUCCUACGGGAGGCAGCAGUGGGGAAUUUUGGACAAUGGGCGCAAGCCUGAUCCAGCAAUGCCGCGUGCAGGAAGAAGGCCUUCGGGUUGUAAACUGCUUUUGUCAGGGAAGAAAUCUUCUGGGUUAAUACCUCGGGAGGAUGACGGUACCUGAAGAAUAAGCACCGGCUAAGUACGUG
rnacentral:rRNA from 1 species